rnacentral:rRNA from 1 species
UCUGUCGUGAAAUNCUCUGGCUUAACUGGGGGCUUGCGGUGGGUACGGGCCGGCUUGAGUGCGGUAGGGGAGACUGGAACUCCUGGUGUAGCGGUGGAAUGCGCAGAUAUCAGGAAGANCACCGGUGGCGAAGGCGGGUCUCUGGGCCGUUACUGACGCUGAGGAGCGAAAGCGUGGGGAGCGAACAGGAUUAGAUACCCUGGUAGUCCACGCCGUAAACGUUGGGCACUAGGUGUGGGGGGCCUUUUCCGGGUUUUCCGCGCCGUAGCUAACGCAUUAAGUGCCCCGCCUGGGGAGUACGGCCGCAAGGCUAAAACUCAAAGGAAUUGACGGGGGCCCGCACAAGCGGCGGAGCAUGCGGAUUAAUUCGAUGCAACGCGAAGAACCUUACCAAGGCUUGACAUGUGCCGGUCGGCUCCGGAGACGGGGUUUCCUCCUUGUGGGGCCGGUUCACAGGUGGUGCAUGGUUGUCGUCAGCUCGUGUCGUGAGAUGUUGGGUUAAGUCCCGCAACGAGCGCAACCCUUGUCCCGUGUUGCCAGCACGUUGUGGUGGGACUCGCGGGAGACUGCCGGGGUCAACUCGGAGGAAGGUGGGGAUGACGUCAAAUCAUCAUGCCCCUUAUGUCUUGGGCUUCACGCAUGCUACAAUGGCCGGUACAGAGGGCUGCGAUACCGUGAGGUGGAGCGAAUCCCUUAAAGCCGGUCUCAGUUCGGAUCGGUGUCUGCAACUCGACACCGUGAAGUUGGAGUCGCUAGUAAUCGCAGAUCAGCAACGCUGCGGUGAAUACGUUCUCGGGCCUUGUACACACCGCCCGUCACGUCAUGAAAGUCGGCAACACCCGAA